GAAAAAGCAGAGUUCUGUUGCAAUUUACAACAGAUCUCACGUAUACUUCAGGGAAAUUGAAUUGGUCAUCGUGAUUGGGUGAAUCUAUGUUUAUUUUUUCUCAUAACUAUAAGAUUCAGUACAUGAUGGUACAUUG
rfam:Arabidopsis lyrata subsp. lyrata unplaced genomic scaffold ARALYscaffold_2, whole genome shotgun sequence.